GUCCCCUACGGGACGCAGCAGUGAGGAAUAUUGGUCAAUGGGCUUACGCCUGAACCAGCCAAGUCGCGUGAGGGAAGACUGCCCUAUGGGUUGUAAACCUCUUUUGUCAGGGAGCAACGCCGGCUACGUGUAGCCGGACUGAGAGUACCUGAAGAAAAGGCAUCGGCUAACUCCGUGCCAGCAGCCGCGGCAAUACGGAGGAUGCGUGCGUUAUCCGGAUUCAUUGGGUU
rnacentral:rRNA from 1 species